rnacentral:rRNA from 1 species
GUGGGGAAUCUUAGACAAUGGGGGAAACCCUGAUCUAGCCAUGCCGCGUGAGCGAUGAAGGCCUUAGGGUUGUAAAGCUCUUUCAGCUGGGAAGAUAAUGACGGUACCAGCAGAAGAAGCCCCGGCUAACUCCGUGCCAGCAGCCGCGGUAAUACGGAGGGGGCUAGCGUUGUUCGGAAUUACUGGGCGUAAAGCGCACGUAGGCGGAUCAGAAAGUCAGAGGUGAAAUCCCAGGGCUCAACCUUGGAACUGCCUUUGAAACUCCUGGUCUUGAGGUCGAGAGAGGUGAGUGGAAUUCCGGGUGUAGAGGUGAAAUUCGUAGAUAUUCGGAGGAACACCAGUGGCGAAGGCGGCUCACUGGCUCGAUACUGACGCUGAGGUGCGAAAGCGUGGGGAGCAAACAGGAUUAGAAACCCGGGUAGUCC